GAGAUAGAAUUCCAUGGAAUUUCAUUGCCAAACCAGUGAAGUGCUAAUUUUGACAUUUGUACCAGCUAACGUAGCUGUGAAGAAACACACCAAUACACUUCUAAGGACAGCAUAGACCAAGAUCUAGGUUUCAUAUGGAUGAAUUUAUUCUUCCCUUUGAGGCAAGACAAGAAGGAAAGAAAGUAUUGGGAAUAAUGCUGCCCUCCCAUCCUCAAGGG
rnacentral:lncRNA from 1 species